GACGAACGCUGGCGGCGUGCUUAACACAUGCAAGUCGAACGGAAAGGCCCUGCUUUUGUGGGGUGCUCGAGUGGCGAACGGGUGAGUAACACGUGAGUAACCUGCCCUUGACUUUGGGAUAACUUCAGGAAACUGGGGCUAAUACCGGAUAGGAGCUCCUGCUGCAUGGUGGGGGUUGGAAAGUUUCGGCGGUUGGGGAUGGACUCGCGGCUUAUCAGCUUGUUGGUGGGGUAGUGGCUUACCAAGGCUUUGACGGGUAGCCGGCCUGAGAGGGUGACCGGCCACAUUGGGACUGAGAUGCGGCCCAGACUCGUACGGGAGGCAGCAGUGGGGAAUAUUGCACAAUGGGCGGAAGCCUGAUGCAGCAACGCCGCGUGCGGGAUGACGGCCUUCGGGUUGUAAACCGCUUUCGCCUGUGACGAGGCGUGAGUGACGGUAAUGGGUAAAGAAGCACCGGCUAACUACGUG
rnacentral:rRNA from 1 species